rnacentral:lncRNA from 1 species
GGCUUCGCAGCCAUUUCCUCCGACCGCCGCGGAACGGGCGGGCGGGAUCGGCGCCGGCCAGCGAGACGCGGGGGUAGAGGGGCCGCCCGCGCGCCGAGCGGACGGAAGACGCCGGCCACCGAGAGGCCCGGGGUAGAGAGGCCGGCCGCGCCCGGAGCAGCGCCCCCGCACGGCGAGCGGAGGAAGGAGCGCGGCUCCGGCCCCGCCCCGCCGGCCCGGCCCCGCGCGGGUCCCGACGGCGCUUCCCCGCCCACUUUGAGGCCGAAGGGGCCGGGACGAGGACGGCGGAGCGAGGCGCGGCGCUCCUUUGCCACCAGACUGCGUGCCCGGCUUCUCCGGGAUUCGCGUCGGCUGCCCGCCCGGCCAAGGAGCUCAGCGCCCGCGCCGCCCCCGCAUACCCGCGGAGCGGAGCGGAGCUCAAGCAACCAGGCACACCUGCCACUGGGGCGGCGGGGAAAGCGCUCCGGCCGACGACCACCCUCCACCUGGAUUUUCUCCUCUAGUAACCCCCCCAGCGCCUGCCGUCCCCAGAUACUCAGCAAACGGAUCUCAGAGGGGAAAACGCCUGCUACCUGGACGCCACGGACACCAGCCCUAAGGCCCGCAGCUCCUUGGCAGAGGGCCCUCGUCCCCAUCACUGCCUCCAUAGAUCCCUCUGCCCCAUUUCCGAGAAGCAGGAACCGCUGGGCAAAAAGCAGACACGUGCCCUGGGGCACUAAAACUGCAGCCCUGCCCCUGCAGGGGCCUCCAGGUGCUUCCACGUGGAGAAGCAGGCGUGCCUUUAACGAUCUCACUCACUCCGCCGCCAGGUUCCGAGAGAGACUGUGCGUCUUCUUCCAAGCACCUCAGCCCCGGCUUGUUUCUGCUGGUGUGAGUCCGUCUGCCCCCCAAGCCCCGCAUCGAGCCUUGCAGGGGCGCCGUCUACACUUGCUUCUUGCUCGUCUUCAGGUUUGCCCCAUAGGUGUCAUGAGUUUAGACACCAGACAGACGGAACUGAAACUCGCUGUGACCUCCGGCUGGUUGUUUGUAAAGCAGGGCUCCCAUGCUCCGGCAAGGGGCUCACAGGCGGCCUCCUGCAAAGGGCCCCAAGUAGGAGCUGGAAUGGGGAGACCCGCCGGGCCAGGUUAG